UACAGAGGGUGCGAGCGUUUGUCCGGAAUUAUUGGGCGUAAAGGGCUCGUAGGCGGUUUGUCGCGUCUGCCGUGAAAGUCCGGGGCUCAACUCCGGAUCUGCGGUGGGUACGGGCAGACUAGAGUGAUGUAGGGGAGACUGGAAUUCCUGGUGUAGCGGUGGAAUGCGCAGAUAUCAGGAGGAACACCGGUGGCGAAGGCGGGUCUCUGGGCCGAUACUGACGCUGAGGAGCGAAAGCGUGGGGAGCGAACAGG
rnacentral:rRNA from 1 species